UGUAAGCAUGUGUAAAUGUGUGUGUUUAUUGUGUGUCUGUGGUCUCCAGCCGGUCCCACGGUGAAGCCCUCCGUGUCUCUGCUCCCUCCCUCCUCUCUGCAGCUGUCUGAGGGAUCGGCCUCGCUGCUCUGCCUGCUGUCUGCCUACUCUCCACAGGGGGCGCUGGUGAGCUGGACAGUGGACGGCUCAGAGGUGAAGAACGGGGUUCUGACCAGCGCAGAAGAACACAAGAAGGACGGUUACACACGCAGCAGCACCCUGACCCUCAGCAAAGCACUCUGGGAAAAGGGGGAGGAGUUUGUCUGCACGGUCUCCCAUGACGGCGUCAAUCAUCCGGUCACGUUCAGAAAGAGCCAGUGUGAAGGCUAACAGCUCCAAGAUAGAAUUUAACACUCAGCUGCUUACACAUCCAUCUACAAUAGAGUUUCAAUUCUACACAAUGCUGACAUUUCUGUCUUUACUCUCUUCACUGUCCUGUUGCUCUUCCUGUAGUUUUGCUCUGCUGAAAUAAAGCUUCAUUUUGGA